UAGACAGAUGAUCUAGAUGAAGUUGUGCUGAAAAAAGGGGACUGAAUGGACAAACCAACCUUACACCCUGGUGUUUGGAACACAUUUAUAGAACUAUGGGACAGUUUAGAGCAGACGGACCCUGGAAAAGAGACUAAUGUCCUCAUCCUCAUCUUCAGUGCAGAGCAUUAGCUAAAAGAAACAAAACAACGUUGUUCACAGUUUGUUUUUUUCGAUCCACCUCACAGCAGUGAGAGCUCCUCCUGGCUCAGGUUUCAUAAUCAGCAGCUGCCAUUGGCUGAACAGACAGAACUGAGCUCUGAUUGGCUCUCAGUCUGAUUGGCACCUCACUCAGUUGGCUUCAGAACUCGAACAUGAUGUGCAAAUAGUAAAUGUAGAAAUGUGCAUCGUCUGUGAACAUGAGUAUGUAGAUCAGUUUGUAUGGAGUCAUAUAUGUGUGUGUGUGUGUGUGUGUGUGUGUGUCUGUAUGUGUGUGUGUGUGUGUGUGUGUGUGGAU